GUAGUCCACGCUGUAAACGAUGAGUGCUAGGUGUUAGGGGUUUCGAUGCCCUUAGUGCCGAAGUUAACACAUUAAGCACUCCGCCUGGGGAGUACGGCCGCAAGGUUGAAACUCAAAGGAAUUGACGGGGGCCCGCACAAGCAGUGGAGCAUGUGGUUUAAUUCGACGCAACGCGAAGAACCUUACCAGGUCUUGACAUCCUCUGAACAGCUAGGAGACUAGCCUUUCCCCUUCGGGGGACAGAGUGACAGGUGGUGCAUGGUUGUCGUCAGCUCGUGUCGUGAGAUGUUGGGUUAAGUCCCGCAACGAGCGCAACCCUUGAUCUUAGUUGCCAGCAUUUAGUUGGGCACUCUAAGGUGACUGCCGGUGAUAAACCGGA
rnacentral:rRNA from 1 species